GGAGGAUUGUUUAGCCAGACCUCACGGUACCUGUUUUCAUGUGUUGAGACUGGAAAGCCGGCUGGAGAGCCUCAGGACAGUCUGGUGGUGCUGAAGCGAGGGAGAUGGUGCUGAACACAGAGCCUGCGAAAGCCGCCACCAGCCUGGCCCAGAGAGAACGUGACGGUUCAGAAGAUGAGAGAAAGCAGCACCUACAAGCUCGG